rnacentral:ncRNA from 2 species
GACCCCGGCCGUGACUGGCGCAGGUGGAGCACACCACCGGGGAGCGGCCGGAAGUUCCCGUCGGGGCACCGCACGCCUGGGUGCCUGGG